AGCGACGAGAGGGCUUUGCCUUCCGGAUUAGGCUUGGUUUAUUUGAAAAAUGUACGAUUUUAUUGCUAGUCUAGGCUGGGAGUUCUGGGGAAUGAACGGCUGGAGAAGGCUGGGAUGUACAUUGGCAUAGCCCACACUCACAGUUUUAAGUGGCUGGUCCGGUGGCCUGGAGGUGAUAUUACCUUGUUGUCUUAUAAAAGCAGUAGUUGAGCCUUCUGUGGAACCUGUGUCAUCAGGUGGUCCUUGCGGAAUCAGAGUCUUGGUUUUCUUGGAAGGCUAGGCGGCCAAGGACCCAUGGCCAUCUGCUGCUUGGCACCCGAGAGCCAGGUGGGUUGCCCGCAGCUCUACUGGAGCCACCCAAGGAAGUUCGGCCAGGGUUCUCGGUCUAGCCGCGUCUGCUCACACUGGCUGGAUCUGAUCUGGAAAUGCUGUCUCAAGGAGUGCUGCAGAUUUUUCCAUCUGUACACAAAGGAUAUAGGCUUCCUUAUCUUGGAUUUAGUGGACUUCUGUGAAUGCAUCCUAAGACAUUACCUUACCGCAGAAACAAC